AAAAAAAUAGUCAGGGCAAGCUAAACAUUCAUUAUAUUAAGACCAUGCAUGUGUCCUAGGCCACUUACCCUAGGUCUGGUUGUAUAGAUGCUGGUCAUAAAA